AUACGUAGGUGACAAGCGUUAUCCGGAUUUACUGGGCGUAAAGGGCGUGUAGGCGGUCUUGCAAGUCAGAAGUGAAAUUCCUGAGCUCAACUCGGGCGCUGCUUCUGAAACUGCAGGACUUGAGUGCUGGAGGGGAUAGCGGAAUUCCUAGUGGAGCGGUAAAAUGCGCAGAUAUUAGGAAGAACACCGGUGGCGAAGGCGGCUAUCUGGCCAGUAACUGACGCUGAGGCGCGAAAGCGUGGGGAGCAAACAGGAUUAGAUACCCUGGUAGUCCACGCUGUAAACGAUGAAUACUAGGUGUAGGGGGUAUCGACUCCCUCUGUGCCGCAGUUAACACAAUAAGUAUUCCGCCUGGGGAGUACGGCCGCAAGGUUGAAACUCAAAUGAAUUGACGGGG
rnacentral:rRNA from 1 species